UGGCCAGCAGACUUAGAAUUCUGGUGCUAUUGACCAGGCUCCACAUGAAGACUGGACAGCAGGAAAAAGCUAUCACAGCUGAGGAAAGCUGCAUGUUGAACAGAUGACUUAAACUCCUAUUUUCUGAUUCCAAGCUCACCAAAACAACUUUCUGAUUAUAAUUUAGCUUCUCUACAAAAAGGAAAAGUACAAGUGCAAGUCAUGCUGACAGGAGAGCUCAGGUCUUCUGAGAUUUUAUUUCUUAUUCUACAUUAGUAAACUGACAUUAUGGUUUUCUACAUCAGUGUCUUGUAGCUUGACUAAUGCUGGAUCAAUGCCUGGGAGGUAAAGCCACUCUUGAUGUGCUGGUCAAAACUGCUGAUCAGGAUUCUGACUCUGCAAGGUUGCUGUCCAGGCUGAAACCAUGAAGAAGUCAUCAUGGCAAACACACAAAACUGUAUCUCAAAACUGCAGGAUAUCAGGCCGGGAGACAUGGCUCACACCUGUAAUCCCAGCACUUUGGAAGGCCGAGGCGGGUGGAUCGCCUUAGGUCAGGAAUUCAAGACCAGCCUGGCCAACAUGGCGAAACCCCGCCUCUACUAGAAACACAAAAAAUAGCCAGGUAUGCUGUAAUCCCAGCUACUCAGGAGACAGGCAGGAGAAUUCCUUGAACCCGGGAGGCGGAGGCUGCAGUGAACUGAGAUCGCGUCACUGCACUCCAGCCUAGGUGGCAGAGUGAGACUCCUCCAUUUCAAACAAACAAACAAAAAACCUGCAGGAUAUCAGCCUGGUACUUGCCAUCUGCCAGCUGAGUCACUUUGGGCAAGCUUAAAAACUUCUGGAGUAUCUGUUACUUUGUUGGUAAAGGAAAAUUUACUAGAUUAUAUAAAAAGCCCUUCCAAGGCCAAAGUUUAGACCUAAACAACCAGGAUUUUAUUGUCCACAAUGGAGUGUUCUCUUUGAAUGCUAGGUUGACUGCAAUAGCUUUCUCUUUGCCUUGCCUGAAUUCAGUAAAGUUCUCUUCACUGUAUCCCCUAGAUGAUCCUAGAACAAUCUUAAUAAGACUUAAAUCUGACCAUGUUACACCCUUGCUCAGAAGGCUUUCAAUGAAGGAUCCCUCCAUUGCCUUCGGAAUAAAGAUGAACAUUUCCUACUCGGCAUACAAGGUUCUUUACAACCUCGUUCUUGCUUUUCUUCUCUCCUUUGCCCCAUGUCUCCUCUACACAAAUAUUUUGUGCCUUGGUCUUAAGAAACUAUGUUCAGCUAAGGAUGGCUCCCAGAUAUCUAGUUUUGAUACCCUGAUAUGUGAUAAGAGUUAUCUUUUGGGCAUGUAGAUUUAGAGUUGAUUAUGAAAUAUCCAGUUAGAAAUGUCAGGCAAGCAAUGAGCUAUGUGUGCCUAAUGCUCAUGGGAAAUUCUGCACAAAAG
rnacentral:lncRNA from 1 species